rnacentral:misc_RNA from 1 species
GAUAGAUCAUCAGAAUCAUCGACGUGAAUAUCAGUAGGGUCGUAAACGGAACCACUGAUAUGAAUAUCAGAAGGCUCCCGCCAUCCCACCCAAUCAGGCACUUGUUGGUCAUUGAACAAAUCUUCAUUCCCGCCCGUCUCAAACUGGAAAGGGAUUGUUUCAGUAACUGAGCUCGCUUUCUCAGACUCUGCUAGCGGCUGGUUCACAGCCCCAUU